AGAGGAAGAUCACUCAGCAGACGGGAUAUUUGUAGACCCGUCAUACAAAGAGCACUGAACCCAGGAAAUAUGCAUUCACACCUUGAUUCUUUGGAAAACAAGAGUUCUUGAUUACUCUGAAAACUAGACUUGUUAAGGUAUAAGACUGCUAGAAAAUGGAUUUGGG